GAUGAACGCUGGCGGCGUGCCUAAUACAUGCAAGUAGAACGCUGAAGGAAGGAGCUUGCUCUUUCCGGAUGAGUUGCGAACGGGUGAGUAACGCGUAGGUAACCUGCCUGGUAGCGGGGGAUAACUAUUGGAAACGAUAGCUAAUACCGCAUAACAGUAGAUGUUGCAUGACAACUAUUUGAAAGGGGCAAUUGCUCCACUACCAGAUGGACCUGCGUUGUAUUAGCUAGUUGGUGAGGUAACGGCUCACCAAGGCGACGAUACAUAGCCGGCCUGAGAGGGUGAUCGGCCACACUGGGACUGAGACACGGCCCAGACUCCUACGGGAGGCAGCAGUAGGGAAUCUUCGGCAAUGGACGGAAGUCUGACCGAGCAACGCCGCGUGAGUGAAGAAGGUUUUCGGAUCGUAAAGCUCUGUUGUAAGAGAAGAACGAGUGUGAGAGUGGAAAGUUCACACUGUGACGGUAUCUUACCAGAAAGGGACGGCUAACUACGUG
rnacentral:rRNA from 1 species